UCCUUCUUGGGAACUCGAGAGUGGAAAUGAUUGAGCAAAAACUUAGGAAGCUCAUAGCUUUCACAUUCGAAGUAAGACGAGGUAUGAGAGCAUGUUGUAUACAUCCUACAUUGUAGGUGAAAAUUUGAGAUCAAUCCAUGACACAAGUCAGAAGGUUUAGUAUAAGUAUUGCUUUUGGAAAAGGAAACACUAUUCUACUUGUCUUAGGUGUUUUUUAUGCUAACUUUCUAAUAGCCAUCAUAUUCUAGUAAGUAGAAAAAACUUUUUUGUUUAAGUUGAUCAUAGAUUCCCUUGCAUUCAUGCAACUUGGUUGCAGACUGUUGAAGCUGAAUUUUAUUGCCUGGAUGCAAAGUACCGUGAAGCUGAGAAGGAAGUCAUAUGUUGCAAAUGAAAAUACAAGAAGUUAAGACUAACCUGUCCACAAACACCACAAGGAUUUAGAAUGUAAAUGCUAUCUAUCAUUCCAAGAAGUUAUUAUAAAUAUUGUAGCUUUUGAGUUCUCAGUUCUGAGUCUUUCAUGUUGCAUUGGCUCAGUGUUCAGCAAAAUUUUCAGUUUUAUUUUUAAUGAAGG
rnacentral:lncRNA from 1 species